AAAAGCCGUGAAUGCAAGGAGGAUGUGACUAAGCCUGAAAGGAUCACAGUGCCAGCCACCCUGAGGUAGGAGUGAGUCAGCAGAAGCAGGCCGCUGAGUUUUCAACAGCAAUCAUCUUGCACUUGCACAACAGGGAAACAGGAGCGUCAUCAAAAGUAAAUUCCAGCCGAGACAUUCUCUCCCAUAUGAGAAGCAAAGCUCUCAUCAUAUUUAAGGAUAUUGUCCAAAGUGAUCUGCAGGGAAGAGGAAAAAGCUGAAGAAACAAUGUCGGGGAGGAAAGAGAGUAAAGGCUGAGGAGGAAAUUCUCACAUUCAAGACGAUGCUGUCAUUAUGAUGAAGUAAGAUGGAACAAAAAGUUGUAUGUGAAGUACCCUGGGCAAGCCCCUUUGAUAGUUUUAGCUACAGAUGCCUGUGUGUUUGCAAUGUGGGCCUUUUAUAGCUGUAUUCUAUUAGCUCUGGGUUUACUGUGAUAUUAUGUAUAUUUGUCUUGGGCCAAACAGCUUGCUUGCCUCAGUUGAAGUCUAAAAGAUACUAUGGGCUUAAGACAGUUUUUGUUUAUUUACUAUUUGAGGUGAAUUAUUCCUUCUUUGGUUCUUUGCUAUUCAUAAUAUUAUGAUAUAUAAUUUUGGCUAUGAAAUUGUGUAAUCUUUUCUAUAAUAUUAUUUUGGGCUUCUGUAUAAAAGCUUAAAAAUAUGUUCCACAAAUGAGAUGCUUAUGCUUGUUUAUUCAAUAUUUUUUUCUGUUGGACUUUGGACAAAGUCUUGCCUAGUGGGAUUCACAUAUAAGGAAAGCUUUUUUUUUCUUGUUACUCACAGAAUUACGAUGUUUAAAAUAGCUAUUUGAGUUCAAUGAUACUAUACUUUCCAUAAUAAAUUUAGAGUACUUUUUUUCACUUCAAAGAAUGCUUUUGAGUUUUCUAUGAAUAGGUUUCAGUAACUACAUUUUUAAAAAGCCCUUAGCUCUGAGGUUUAUACUCUUUUACAUCUUAAGGUACAUUUUUCAUGAUUUCUAAAAUAUUUGCUUUUUAAAAAUACUACGACUUAAUUUUAAAAAUUCAUUUUUCAAAAUUUUCAGAAAUUUUAAUAGUAAGAAUCUGUUUAAUUUUUUUUAUUUCUUGGUCAAGGCAGUCAUAUGGUUUGAGAUUUCUCAGUUCUUUAAAAUGGAAUUCAUAAAUUCAACCUAUUCUAAGCUAACUGUAGUGAUUCCUAGCUGUCGUUUACUUAACACUAUUAACCAUUAAACACUACUGACCUCUCAACUCAAAACAUACACUUAGGUAUAGGAAAUAGUAUACAAACAUUUUAUUUAACCAUAUCUUAUGUAGAAAAUUUAAAAUUUGAAUCUUUCUUAUAGUCCUUGGGCUCAAAUCUUCAUGCAGAUACAAUUUAUAUAAUCAAUUAUAUUUGACUUGCGUUUUUUAAAGUGGCUAAGGAAAUGAGUACCAACUUAUUAGGGAAUAUUUGAUGAAUAUUUUUCGUUUUGGUUGAACAAAGACUAUUUACGUACAGAUAUAUUUACUUCAUAAUCAAUAAAAUACCACUAUUAACCUUGCUUUGACGCUCC